UAGUGAGCUCGUUGGUUGCAAGCGGCUUGCGUGAUCGCGCGCAGGAUUAGGGCUAGGGGCUGAGAAAGAAGACUGAGGCGCCAUUUGCUGUCGCUACAGUCCACCUCUCGGGUGUAUGAGAGCGAGUGGCAGUCAGGAACCUCCACCAGGCACACUGAGUCUGUUGUUCAGAAAGAGGAUGAGAAACCCACAUAUUACCAGCAAUGCAGAGUUUCAGAGUAAUCCUUAGGGACCUGAUUGUUAAUGAGACUGAAAGGAGAAGGCAACACAACCAGAAGAGAAAACCAACUGUCUUGUUUAUAAUCAUUGCCACAUUGUCCAUCUACUACAAGACCAUUUGCGGACAGAUACCAUUUGGGACAGAUACACUAGAGGCAACACAGGCU